ACUAUUUUGGCAGAUUAGUGCAAUAAAUUUAGAAUUUAUUUAUGUAGUUUAUGCUACAAAUAGUA
rnacentral:tRNA from 1 species